AUUUUAAUAAUUUGGAGUAAGUUUGUCUGCCCAAACUUUUGUUUCAAAUGAGCCUACAGAUUCUGUAAAACAGGGAUCAUAAUUUCUGACCUUUUGAUACUGAACUGCCUAUAAGUCCCUGUUGGAAACGUUGAUUUAUUCAAAGCUUAUUUCAUUGGAAACUAGACUCAUAGAUCUUUCUUUGAUACCUGGAUUGAAAGAUUUAGAGUCCAAAUGCCUACCCAGUUUUCUAUUGAAACCGAC
rnacentral:lncRNA from 1 species